UGGGGUGGGUAGGCACCUGGGCAGGCCCUGAGAGACACACCCUCAGCUGGUUCCGGGUUCCGGGCACCAGGGCAGGAGGGGGCACCAGGUGUACUGGGGCAGGCUCCUGCUGCUUUUGAGGGAUGAAAAAACGAGGCUGGAAGCACAGACAACUGUAUUCUGGCUCCCAUUUCUGAGUGCUUUCCAUGUGUUAAGUACUGAAGGGUCAUAACCUUGUGGAUUAAGUCCGAAUAUUGUCUCCAUUUUGUACACGAGGUAACCGAGGACCAUAAGAUACACAUGUACUCAGGAGCAGUAAGAGGUCCUACCUUGACCCCCAGUCUAAAACCUGCUUUCUCCACCAACAGUAGGAUCCAGAUAUCUCUCAGAGCCGUGCUUCCCACCUGCUGCAUAGCCAGGCCACUGC